rfam:Colletotrichum tofieldiae strain 0861 Ct_v4_contig31, whole genome shotgun sequence.
GGCCGGUUGGCCCAAUGGCAAGGCGUCUGACUACGAUUCAUUGUGUAAUCAGGAGAUUCUGGGUUCGACCCCCAGGCUGGUCA